AAUCAACGCUGGCGGCGUGCCUCAGACAUGCAAGUCGAACGAUUAAAGCUCUCUUCGGAGAGUGCAUAGAGUGGCGCACGGGUGAGUAACACGUAAGUAAUCUACCCUCGAGUGGGGAAUAACGUCCGGAAACGGACGCUAAUACCGCAUAAUGCAGCGGCACCGCAAGGUGACAGUUGUUAAAGAUUUAUCGCUUGAGGAGGAGCUUGCGGCAGAUUAGCUAGCUGGUAAGGUAAUGGCUUACCAAGGCUACGAUCUGUAACCGGUCUAAGAGGACGGUCGGUCACACUGACACGGAAUAACGGGUCAGACUCCUACGGGAGGCAGCAGUCGGGAAUUUUGGGCAAUGGGCGAAAGCCUGACCCAGCAACGCCGCGUGAAGGAUGAAGUAUUUCGGUAUGUAAACUUCGAAAGAAUAGGAAGAAUUAAUGACGGUACUAUUUAUAAGGUCCGGCUAACUACGUGCCAGCCGCCGCCGUAAUAC
rnacentral:rRNA from 1 species